GUGGGGAAUCUUAGACAAUGGGGGAAACCCUGAUCUAGCCAUGCCGCGUGAUCGAUGAAGGCCUUAGGGUUGUAAAGAUCUUUCAGGUGGGAAGAUAAUGACUGUACCACCAGAAGAAGCCCCGGCUAACUCCGUGCCAGCAGCCGCGGUAAUACGGAGGGGGCUAGCGUUGUUCGGAAUUACUGGGCGUAAAGCGCACGUAGGCGGAUUGGAAAGUUGGGGGUGAAAUCCCGGGGCUCAACCCCGGAACUGCCUUCAAAACUCCCAGUCUUGAGUUCGAGAGAGGUGAGUGGAAUUCCGAGUGUAGAGGUGAAAUUCGUAGAUAUUAGGAAGAACACCAGUGGUGAAGGCGGCUCACUGGUCCGGUACUGACGCUGAGGUGCGAAAGCGUGGGGAGCAAACAGGAUUAGAUACCCCAGUAGUCC
rnacentral:rRNA from 1 species